AGCUUUGCGCAGUGGCAGUAACAUAGCUGAUGAGGUUCAUCCGAGGCGUGUUUUUUGCUAGUUGAAAACUAUACCCAAUACCCCGCCCUGUGGACGUAUAAACCGUUCGCUGUGGCAAUUUCUGAUGGGUUCCCCGGAAC
rfam:Ciona savignyi cont_35050, whole genome shotgun sequence.